AGCCAGCUCGCGGUUUAGGAAAAGAAGGGAAGCCGAGCAGCUUGGCCUGAGACAAAGUUAGUUUAGAUGUUCAGCAAUUACACAACACAAAAGUACAAUUGCCGUUUUUGGAAUGUCAAUGCUCCCAAAGUCUUAUCUUUACAAUCAUGUAAUGUAUCUACUUACGUAUGAUUCUUAAUGAUUUCAUUUGGCAGCUGUGGUGAUGGGAUAAAUUUAUUAAAAGACAAUUUUUUUUUGUCAUAGUUUUACCAUAAUUUUGUUUCUCUGUCAUUUUUAUGUAGCAAAAAUUUUGGGAAUUAGCGAUAGCCUUCUGGUGGAGCAAGCUGGUUCUCAAAGGGCAGAUAUACUACCCUAGUUUAAGAUGUGAUCGAAGUUAACUCCCAGCAUGAAUCCAGAAAAGAAGCUGACCCACAAGCUACUCUCUCUAGGGUCAUUCAUAUUCCAACAGAGUACCGACCCCUCUGGCCUCUGAAUUGUAGUUGAGGAGACCUCUCACGCCGCUGACAUACAAUUGCCUCCGAAAUGCAUUAUUUUACUGGCCACUUCUCCAUUCUCUUGUCCCAUCCAUUGUUUUCUUUUUCUCUUUUUUUUUUUUCCCUUUAUUUGUUAUUAAUUAGUGCUCUUUCUGGUUUAUAAUUAUUAUUAGGAUUUGGGUCAUGACUUAUAAUCUGGUAAAUUAACGCAAAAAUAAAUAACAAAAUAAUGGAGUCAAGUAGGUCAUUGGAUGAAUUUUGUAUGGAUCUUAGUUACAUUUCGGAGACCCUUAUUAUUAACUCAUCUAUCCUUACUCUCCAUCUCCAAUCUUUGUGCCAUAACUGCACAUGCAUUGGAGAAGAUUCAAGCAAUUGAUUACAAGUCUAGUCCCAGUUAUACACUUCACCUUC
rnacentral:lncRNA from 1 species